rnacentral:lncRNA from 1 species
AAAAAUCAACAACGCAUUCUUUCAGCACAAACGACUAGUUGAAAUGAGGACUACCCAUGUGUGGCUUGUGGCCCUAGUCUUUCUUGUGCUAGCAUCAGGUACUCAUUUGUUCAUGUAACACAUUUGUGCAUAAUCUCUCCCAACAAAUAAUGGUCAUGUUUUGAUUGUCCCUUUUCUUCAUCUCAAGAUUUUGCAGAUGUGGUAGUGGAGGCAUCAAGAGAUAGCAUUAAAUUCGUCACAUGUGUGUCAAAACAAUUGACAAAUCCACCAUGUGAUAACAAAACUUGCGAAGAUGCAUGCUCCAAACGUACAGGGCAAUACAAAUCUGGUGAGUGUGUUGCUGAGGGGUGCAAGUGCACAUUUUGCGUAGACCAUCCUCCAGCCAGCCACAGUAACGAAAAACUGGGUACUAACUAGCUAAGAUUGGAUAGUGUGUUGAGCGAAUAAGAGAUAAAAUCACAAAUGGUGUAGAAGCAAGGUUGUUCACACGUAUAAGCCAUAUGAAGAGUGAUAAAUAGUCUUGCUUCUUGAAUUAUCUUGAAUUAAGAAGUGGUGUAUAAAAUUUGAAGAAGUGGUCUAUAAAAUGUGUGUGGUUGAGUAUUUUUCAUUGUUUUUAUUAAUUGUGAUGUGAAUUCAUGUAGAAGGUGAAUGAGAAUCAUUUUUUCCUUUGCACUUCCUAGUGUAAAGACAAAUUUCAAAUAACAUAUAUCUUUUACUCCCUCCAUUCCAGAAUACACAAGGUGGAUUAGUCUUCUCAAAAGUCAAACAUGUGCAUGUUAACCAAGUUUUCUAAAAAAAUCAUUGUUUAUCUAUUAGGUAUUGCAAUAAGUUGAUUUUUUGACAAAGGGAAUAUAUUAAUAUCGUGGAGAUACCAAGUACACCAAGCCUCUGCAACAACACAAUACCCUAAUAGCACUAUAGAUGCACACAACAAAAAAAAAUAAGAAGCUAGAAAAGAAAAGUCCCGCUAUAGUGAUCUAGUCCUUGAAGCAGCAGUACAAACACCACCAAGACAACACCUAAAGUCCAACUUCUCUAAAAACGAUGCCCUCAAGAAGGAAACAAUGCACAAGUGCCAUGGUUGGCCGAUCAUAGAUCAUAGGUUUUUCACCCUGAAGAAAAUCCACUCUCUCAAAACAAUGCCUUCAAAAAGUCCAUUGCGAGGCACAACCAAUUAUGGUCAGAUCUUGGAUUUUCACCCUGAAAGGUAAGACCUUGAACUUCUCCAAAUGUUGAUAUCUAAUUAUAUAAUAUUGGUCAAACAUACAAACCUUUGAGUAUCAGAAAAAUUGAUGCACUGAGAGUGUGUUUGGUAAGGUAUUUAAGACUAUCUCUAUAUGUUGAUGUAAAGCUAAUGAAUUGAAUAUGGAAUGUUUUAUUUAAUGUGUACAUUAAAUUUCUAUGUAUUUGCGCAUACAUGGUUACUAGUGGUUUGGAAUGCUCAACAAUAAUCAAAUUAACUAGAAUAUAUGAAACAACAUGCAUCGCAUGUGCAAAAUUGAAUUGGAAAGGUAUUAACAUGUGCAGAUGAAAGGACAAUACAUGAAAGGAGGAGGGAGAGGACGUAUAUGGACACCAAUCUAGAUAUGAACCCAGGUAAGAGGCCUGCAAGUGCACAUAGUUUAGUUCUAGCCUUUUCAAACAAAGAUUGUCGAUCCCACAAAAAGCAUGGGAAUUGGACUUUGUCACUUAUGAAUGUAGAUGUGUCUGCAGGUUAGUUGUAGAUGCGAAGCAAAAUGAAGGCAAAAGAUUGAAAUAAUUUUUGAGAUGAGUGCAAAAAUGAGUAAUUAGUGUAAAAGAAUUAAAAGAGCACAAAGAGGUGAAUAGAGCAUUGAGAGGAUUAAAAUGUUCUCAGGGAGUCUAGAAGUACCAUAGGUAUGUGUCUAAUGUAACAUAUGCUACUACAUAGUUCUAAGUUGG